rnacentral:rRNA from 1 species
UACGAGUGCCUCGAGCGUUAUCCGGAAUCAUUGGGCGUAAAGGGUGUGUAGGCGGCUGUGCUAGUCUCGCGUAAAAUCUUUCGGCUCAACCGAGAGCUCGCGCGGGAAACGGCACGGCUAAGAGGAUGGAAGGGGUCUGCGGAACUCAUGGUGUAGCGGUGAAAUGCGUUGAUAUCAUGGGGAACACCGAAAGCGAAGGCAGCAGACUGGUCCACUCCUGACGCUGAAACACGAAAGCGUGGGUCGCGAAUGGG